rnacentral:tRNA from 1 species
ACACCGAAUAGGUGGCCUGGUAGGCGCCGGGCGGGAUCUCGGCCUGCUGGCCCACCAUGGCGGCCCGGAUCGCGGCCGUGUCGAUCUU